rnacentral:tRNA from 1 species
GCUCCGGUAGCUCAGCUGGAUAGAGCAACUGACUUCUAAUCAGUAGGUCGUGGGUUCGAGUCCCGCCCGGAGUACCA